CGAAGUGAUCGCGGACCUUUGUGUCUAGACUGUGAUGACAUAGAAAACAUGGCCCUCUGCAAAAACAUAGCCACUUGCGCCAAGGACGAAAUUUGCACCAUCUACGGAAGUCCUUUUACACACUAUGACGGAAAAUGCGUGAGCAAGAACUUCCAGUGCCCGGGCGUGGCAUCCGCUGGUGGAUUCUGCCAGUCAUGUUGUGACCAGGAUAUGUGUAACACUAACUGCACCAGACCAGCCGAGGUCUCCAUUGUUGGAUAACAUUUGAUGGUCCACUUUCGCAAGGGAUUUUAGCACCAAGGAGAAUCUUACCAUGACAUACAUGGCCCAUGCCUACU